UUCACACGACAAGUAUAUCCAUAUAUUAGUGAUUGGUGUUCUUAUUGAAGUCAACGGAAUGAAGUGGAUUCCGAUCUUAUUGAACCUCCUCGUGAUAGACCCCAACGGAGGACAUGUCGCAAUGGACUUCUCCAGAGGAAGAUCCCAGGUAAUCUCUGGAAGACAAGACACGUCGUUUCCGUAUAUUUCCAGUCAAGAUGGAACGUUCAUGGGCACUUGUAGAGGUGGCGCUGUAUGCGUGCCUUUCGUCAGUUGUUCGGCUCAUGUUCGGUCGCCUGAAAAAACUUUCUGCAAGACACUGACGGGAAAGAAAGGGGUCUGUUGUACCACCGGAAGGAAUCUCACAAAGCCGUUCACAAAAAAGGACCGCGGUCAUCGCAUUAUAAAGUUAGAUGAAGCCGUGCUGGGAGCCCUGAAUCACAAAUGCCGCGACGAAAUGUCCCAGCUCAGAUCCAGAGAAGCCAGAUUGCUGGAUUCUGAAGAGCCGACGAUAUUACUGCCGGGAUCAGCGAGCUACAGCCACUUCAGAAACUCCAGGAGAUUCGAUCACUUCGAUUUGAACGAGGUCACCAACGUCGCUAUGAAGGCUUUGGAAAUCGCGAUGGCUACUAAAGUUUUUAAAGACAGAGAGGGUGUCAGUAACUCAGACUUGGAGUUAGGAAUGAUCCAAGAAGAUCUUCGUUACACUCCUUUGGGACACAAUUGUCCUCCUAGUCCAGUUUGUCCAGUGGUUCCCGGAAAGUACCGAAGAAUAGAUGGAUCUUGCAACAACCAGUACAAUUCUCUGUGGGGUGCGACUCGAACUCCGUACUCUAGAUUAUUACCUCCAAGUUAUGAAGAUGGAAUUUGGACCCCAAGAACUUCCCAAGUCGGAGAGAAGGAACUUCCAAGCCCAAGGCUUGUUACUACUUCGUUAUUCGACGAUAGAGCAGAGGCUAACCAAGAUCUUACUCUGUUGGUGAUGCAGUUUGGUCAGUUCCUUGCCCACGAAAUCACUCAAUCUCUGGAUUACAAUUAUGUCAACGGAAGUGCAAUAUCCUGCUGUACACAAGACGGAUGGGAUGUGAUUCCUCCAGAAUACCGACACUUUGCUUGUAUGCCGAUUACUCUACCAAGAGAAGACAACUUCUUUGGUGGAUACAAGCAGGGUUGCAUGAAUUUUGUACGAUCCGUUUUAGCCCCCAGAGAGGACUGUACCCUUGGAUAUGCCCAACAGAUGAACAAAGUGACCCAUUUCAUCGACGGGUCUACAAUUUAUGGUUCCACUUCUGAGCAAACUGGGGAACUCAGAAGUUUCGAAGAAGGAAAGCUCAAGGUUUUCAAUGAUUACGGGAGAGAUUUGCUGCCGCUGUCUAAAGAUAAGGAUGCCUGUCUCACAAUGGAGCAAGGAACUGCUUGCUUCAAUUCUGGCGACACACGAACCAAUCAAAUGGUCACGCUUGUGGUUUUACAUACGCUGUUCAUGAGAGAGCACAACAGAAUAGCGGAUGCAUUGACUAAACUGAAUCCUGAUUGGAACGAUGAACAAAUUUUUCUGGAAGCUCGGCAAAUUGUCAUCGCAGAGUUGCAAGUUAUUACUUAUAAGGAGUUUUUACCGGUGAUUAUAGGAGAAUCGACUAUGGAGGAGUUUGGCUUGAAUUUGGAAGAGAAGUAUUCCUACUCCUAUGACUAUGACCAGAGAAUUCAACCAUCAGUGAUCAAUGAAUUCGCAACAGCAGCGUUCCGAUUCGGACAUUCCAUGAUUGAUGGAACACUGAAAAUAUAUGGAAUGACUCAUAUGGAGGAGCAGAUAGCCAUUCCCGAAGUGAUGUUCUACCCAUCGCAGAUGCGAAGAAAAAAAUUCAUGGACAUGGUUUUGAGCACGCUUACUACAGAACCAAUUCAAGAAGUAGACUCUUCUUUCCCAGAAGCUGUGACUAAAUACCUCUUCAGGGCUGGGAACCCAUUUGGAGUCGAUCUACCGUCUCUCAAUAUCCAGAGAGGAAGGGACCAUGGCCUAAGACCCUACAAUGAUUAUCGAGAGUUAGUUGGAUUACCACGUUUCACUUCAUUCAGUGAUUUUGGCCCAGAGAUAGGGCCAAAGUUGAAAAAAGUAUACGCCUCUGUGAAUGACGUCGACCUGUGGGUAGGUGGCUUGCUAGAAGAAAAAGAUGGUGAGGGAAUCGUUGGACCCGUUUUCCGAAAUAUAAUUGCUGAUCAAUUUUCGAGACUGAAGAACGGGGACAGAUAUUUCUUCGAAAAUGACCCUAGCGUUAAUCCAGGACAUUUCACUCCAGAUAUCAAGGUGAGACAUCAAUUAUACGCUUACCGUGUUAUAAAAGCCCUCUACGAAACAUGUCGAUCUCAGAUUUCAGGAAAAAGAAGCUCCUCUACGUGUUCAAUGUGUUUUUUGAUGUUAAUCAGAGCGGCACCAUAGACAGGAAAGACUUCGAGCUUGCGAUAGAGAAAAUCUGUUCACUACGUGGCUGGUCCAGCGGAAGUGAGCAAUACAAGAAAACUUUCGAAAGUAUGAUCACGAUCUGGGAAGGCCUCAAACAGAGAGCUGAUUCUAACAAAGAUGGACAGGUUAGCGUUGAAGAAUGGGCAUCUAUGUGGGACGAUUACGCAAAGAACCCGGAGAACGCUUUGGAAUGGCAGACUCAAUAUUUGAAAUUCAUGUUCGAUUUGGAAGAUGCCAGCGGCGAUGGAUCCAUCGACGUCGACGAGUUCACCAGCGUAUGCUCGUGUUACGGGCUGGAUACCUCUGAAUGCAAGCAGGCCUUCCAGAAAAUGGCUGAGGGGAAGAAAGAAGUGAACUAUGAGCAGUUUGUGGCCCUUUGGAAGCAGUUUUUCACUUCUGAAAACCCAUCCGAUCCCGGUAACUUCAUCUUUGGCAAAACUAAAUUCUAAUCGCCCCAAAAUAUAAACAAAAGGAAAUUUUUGUAAGAUUUAUUAUAUACUACACAAACUUUAAUUUACAUCUAUAUCAUCUUAGCUCUAACUUUAACGGAUUGGAUAAACUCUCACAUAAUCUGAACGCUUCAUAUUCUGCGAGUCCGAAAAGUGAUAUUUCAGAAAUUUUGAAAACGAUGAAGUCAAUUAGUAUUAUAACAAAAACGCGUUGUAAAUAGAUUAUGGAAACGAAAUAUGCUAUGGAGUUGAAGGAAAUUGAGGGUUUAUCCUAUAAAAUUGGGUAUUUUUCUCUAAAUAACUUCUACAAUUUACUGAAGUAGAUUUUUCAGACACAUCUAAAAUAUCCAAAGUAUGUUGUUCAUUUCAUUUUGAUUAUAGAGAAUAUAUUGCAAAAGGUAUAUCAUA